CCUGCACCUAUCUUCAUUUCUCAAAUUUUUGCAUAUAUAUAAAAAAAUUCUCUCAAUAAACUCCUUUAUUCAGGUUAUUUUCCUUUAUAAUAAAAAAUAAAAAUGGCUAAACUUUCCUUCAGCCUUUUCUGUGUCUUCCUUAUUUUUUCAGGAGGUAUGAUGGUGCCUUAUGGAAAUGCACAAGAAAUGUGUCAUUAUGAAAUUCCAGGAAAUGGGAAUUGUGAUGAAGGAAAUUGCCAAACACAGUGCUCCAAUUUACAACAAGGGAAAGGAAUCUGCACUCAGACUUAUAUAAAUAGAUUCAGUUGCAUUUGCAAUUGGGAAUGUUAACGAACUUCUAUUUAUUUAACAUUUUUAAUCAAAUUGUAAAAGUUUCCAAUUUUUAUUGAAUUUCUUCCCAUC